rnacentral:rRNA from 1 species
UUAAGCCCCAGUAAACGGCGGUGGUAACUAUAACCAUCCUAAGGUAGCGAAAUUCCUUGUCGGGUAAGUUCCGACCUGCACGAAUGGCGUAACGACUUCUCCACUGUCUCAACCGCGAACUCGGCGAAAUUGCACUACGAGUAAAGAUGCUCGUUACGCGCAGAAGGACGGAAAGACCCCGGGACCUUUACUAUAGCUUGGUAUUGGUGUUCGGUACGGCUUGUGUAGGAUAGGUGGGAGACUGUGAAGCAUGCACGCCAGUGUGUGUGGAGUCAACGUUGAAAUACCACUCUGGUCGUUCUGGAUAUCUAACCUCGGUCCGUGAUCCGGAUCAGGGACAGUGCCUGGUGGGUAGUUUAACUGGGGCGGUUGCCUCCUAAAAUGUAACGGAGGCGCUCAAAGGUUCCCUCAGCCUGGUUGGCAAUCAGGUGUCGAGUGUAAGUACACAAGGGAGCUUGACUGCGAGACUGACAGGUCGAGCAGGGACGAAAGUCGGAACUAGUGACCCGGCGGUGGCUUGUGGAAGCGCCGUCGCUCAACGGAUAAAAGGUACCCCGGGGAUAACAGGCUGAUCUUGCCCAAGAGUCCAUAUCGACGGCAUGGUUUGGCACCUCGAUGUCGGCUCGUCGCAUCCUGGGGGUGGAGUUGCUCCCAAGGGUUGGGCUGUUCGCCCAUUAAAGCGGUACGCGAGCUGGGUUUAGAACGUCGUGAGACAGUUCGGUCCCUAUCCUCUGUGCGCGUAGGAAACUUGAGAAGGGCUGUCCCUAGUACGAGAGGACCGGGAUGGACGAACCUCUGGUGUGUCAGUUGUCCUGCCAAGGGCACCGCUGAUUAGCUACGUUCGGAAGUGAUAACCGCUGAAAGCAUCUAAGCGGGAAGCACGCUUCAAGAUGAGGUUUCCAUGGGGCUUGCCCCGAGAGGCUCCCGGCUAGACUACCGGGUUGAUAGGCCAGAUGUGGAAGUGCAGCAAUGCAUGCAGCUGACUGGUACUAAUAAGCCGACAGCUUGAUACA